GGAGGAAAAGAAACCAACAGGGAUUGCCUCAGUAACGGCGAGUGAAGCGGCAUCAGCUCAAAUUUGAAAUCUGGUCUCACGACCCGAGUUGUAAUUUGUAGAGAAUGCUUCGGGCGAGGUCCGGUCUAAGUUCCUUGGAACAGGACGUCAUAGAGGGUGAGAAUCCCGUAUGCGACCGGUCGCCUCCGCCCAUGUGAAGCUUCUUCGACGAGUCGAGUUGUUUGGGAAUGCAGCUCAAAAUGGGUGGUAAAUUUCAUCUAAAGCUAAAUACUGGCCAGAGACCGAUAGCGCACAAGUAGAGUGAUCGAAAGAUGAAAAGCACUUUGGAAAGAGAGUUAAACAGUACGUGAAAUUGUUGAAAGGGAAGCGCUUGCAACCAGACUUGCGCGCAGCCGAUCAUCCGGUGUUCUCACCGGUGCACUCGGUUGCGCUCAGGCCAGCAUCGGUUUCGGUGGUUGGAUAAAGGCCCGGGGAAUGUAGCUCCUCUCGGGGAGUGUUAUAGCCCUGGGUGCAAUGCAGCCUACCGGGACCGAGGACCGCGCUUCGGCUAGGAUGCUGGCGUAAUGGUUGUAAGCGACCCGUCUUGAAACACGGACCAAGGAGUCUAACAUCUAUGCGAGUGUUUGGGUGUCAAACCCAUACGCGUAAUGAAAGUGAACGGAGGUGAGAACCCUUAAGGGUGCAUCAUCGACCGAUCCUGAUGUCUUCGGAUGGAUUUGAGUAAGAGCAUAGCUGUUGGGACCCGAAAGAUGGUGAACUAUGCCUGAAUAGGGUGAAGCC
rnacentral:rRNA from 1 species